UCACAGCGUCCUCGAGGGGACUAUACCAGUCCAUUGUCCUUACCAUACUGCAUAUUAGGCUCUUUUCUUUCGUUUAUCUGGCUUUAGUUCUCUUAUGGCCAAUCAACUUGCCUCUUCUUCUUCCUUGAGUACUCUUCCCCGGAGACACGAUGUGUUUUUAAGUUUUAGAGGUGAGGAUACACGCUUUACCAUUACAGAGCUUUUAUACUACGCUUUGUCCAGUAAGGGAAUCAACACCUACAUGGAUCAGCAGCUUCAAAGAGGAGAAAAAAUAGCUCCGACUCUUUUCAAAGCAAUUGAAGAGUCAAGAAUUUCUGUUGUCAUACUCUCUAAGAACUAUGCCUCCUCAAGGUGGUGCUUGGACGAGCUCGUCAAGAUCCUUCAAUGUGGAGAAUCAAAGAAACAAAUAGUUUUGCCAGUUUUCUACAAGGUGGAUCCGUCUAAUGUACGAAAUCAAACGGGUAGUUUCGGUGAUGCGUUUACGGACCAUGAGAGCAAGUUCAAAGAUAACAAGGAGAAGGUGCUCAUGUGGAGGAGAGCUCUAACAGAAGUAGCAAAUUUGUCAGGACAUCAUUUCCGAAAGGGAGAGUCCAUGGUUACAUUAAUCAGCAACAUUGUUGAGAAUAUCUUAGUAAAAGUACUUGAUGGCACAUAUUUAAAUGUGGCCAAAUACCCAGUUGGAGUAGAUUCUUGCGUUCAAGAGGUGAAAGAGCUUUUAGGUGUCAGAGGAAAUGAUUGUUGUGUGGUUGGGAUUUGGGGGGCACCUGGAAUAGGCAAGACAACAAUUGCAAAAGCUGUUUAUAAUGCAAUUGCUCAUGAAUUUGAAGGCAGUUGUUUCCUGGCAGAUGUUAAAGAAAGGUCGACAUCACUUGAAGGCGUAAUCCAAUUACAAAACGAUCUUCUUUCUAAAGUUCUAUGUGGUACAAAGUUAAAAAUUGACGAUGUUUAUCAAGGAAUCAGUUUUAUAGAGAAACUGUUGAGGGGAAAGAAGGUUCUCUUAAUUCUUGAUGAUGUGCAUGAAUUGGAGCAGUUAAACAACUUGGUUGAAGUCCAUCAAUUAGGUGAGGGUAGCAGAGUGAUCAUAACCACAAAAAAUAAAGGAUUGCUGGAAUCUUGUAAAGUUGAGCUGAUAUACAAGGUCCAAAAGUUAGAAGACAACAAAGCUCUUGAGCUUUUUAGUUGGAAUGCCUUUGGAAAAGAAAAACCUCCAGGUGAUUAUUUGGGACUCGCACGACGUGCAAUAGCAUAUGCUCAAGGCCUCCCGUUAGCUCUUAAUCUUAUAGGUUCUCAUUUGCGUGGUAAAAAUAUAGAUCGUUGGCAAGAUAUUUUGGACAGUUACGAUGAAGAACCUUAUAGAGGGAUUCAAAGAGUACUUCGGAAAAGUUAUGAUAUCUUGGAUUAUGUCCCGCAACAAGUUUUCCUAGACAUUGCAUGCUUCUUCAAGGGUGAAGAUAAAGACAAAGUGUUACAGAUAUUAAAAGGAUCAAACCUCAAAGUACGUCAACAUUGUAUUGAUGUUCUCGUUGAGAAUGCCAUUAUAACUAUUGAAGAUAAUAGGAUUUUGAUGCAUGACUUGCUAGAACAAAUGGGUAAACAUAUAGUUUGGGAAGAAUCGCCUACUGAACCAGGUGAACGGAGCAGAUUGUGGCAUCAUGAAGAUGUGUACCGUAUUCUAACUAAAAACAGAGGAACAAAGAAAAUUAAAGGCAUUGUGGUGAAGUUGCCCAAGCUAGAUGUGAUACCCUUGAAUGCAAAAAGCUUUUUCAAGAUGGUAAAUCUUGAAAUUUUUAUAAUCCAUAAUGCACACUUUUCUGGAUGCGUUGAGUACUUACCUAACGAUUUGAGAUGGAUUGAAUUUGGUGGAGAUAAGCUUAAAGACUGGGGAUCCAAUGUUCUUCAAAAGCAUAUACUUACAUUCAAUUUGCAAUCCAAUUGUCAUCUAAGGCAUCUUGUCACGUUUAUUAUGCCAAACAGUGACAUCAGACAAUUGAAGGGAUUUCAGAAUUUGACAAAGCUUACAUCUUUGAAUUUAAGUGGUUCCGAAUUCUUAGAAAAAAUUCCCAACUUAUCUGGAAGUCCAAACCUAAGGGAGUUGAUUCUAGAUGAGUGUAAACGUUUAGUUGAAGUUGAUGAUUCUGUUGGAUUCCUUGAUAAACUUGUUACAUUAAGUUUUGAUGGGUGCUCUAGGCUUGAGAGAUUUGCGACGAGACUUGGAUUGAGAUCCCUUGAAAGCCUUUAUCUUGAUGGUUGCACAAGGCUCAAGAGUUUCCCAGAAAUAGAGGUCGAGAUGGAAUCUCUGAAGUAUUUGUCCAUAGAAGAAAGUGGCAUAAGAGAAUUGCCUUCAUCAAUUGCAUAUCUUACUGGGCUUAAGAGAUUGUGGGCAAAUGGUUGUCAGAACCUUACAGGAACAUCAUUACAUCACAUUUUUGGGUUGCAACAUCUCGACUAUAUUGAAAUGGAUGGAUGCCCAAAACUGGUGACAUUUGGGAAGUUUUCAACUCACUUAGACACUUCACAUGACAACGGUAUCCCAUUAGCCCUUUCCAACGUAGGUUGUACUUAUCUUGAUCUUAGUGGAUGCAAUUUAUCAGAAACUGAUUUUCUUGUGCCUCUUCAUUGGUGGACCAAAUUAAAACGUGUUCGUCUGGGGGGAAACAAUUUUGUUAGUCUACCUGAAUGCAUCAGCAAAUUUGUUAACUUGGGAACACUUGAUUUGAGUCGUUGCAAGAGGCUUCGGGAAAUUCCACAUGCCCUUCCACCAAAUCUAAGUGAAUUACAUCUGGAUGAUUGCACAUCAUUGGAGAAAAUUCCAAAGUUGCCCUCGGGGCUUAGGCGUCUGCGGUUGGCUAAUUGCUUUAGACUAAGUGGCGAUGAGGUGACAAAGUUGAAAAAUAAUUUGUUGAACUUGAAUCAGGAAUCUCUUUUAUGCUCUCAAUUGCAAGUUAUGUAUCCGGGCAAUGAAAUUCCAAAGCAGUUUAGCUAUACCUCUAAACAUCUAACAGCCUCUAGGAUUGAUCGUGAACCUUAUUAUGAUGGAGGUAGUGAAUUUAGUUUUGAAAUUCCUCUAAAUUUACAGGAGAGGGAGACAUUAUUCGGAUUGGCUCUAUUUUGUGUUUUGCCACCACGGCCUUUAUCAAAAUUUGAAUAUUUUUACUACUUUCGUAUUCUCAUCAACGAAGCAAGUGACCAUACAGUAUUUGGGUGGGCUGAGAAAGGCGUGGAGACAGCUCAUGUGGGGCUCAUGUUAGUGGAUUUAAAAAAGAAGCAGGGAGAAAGCCCAUGUGGGGCACAUGUUAGCGGAGAUAUUUGUGAAGUUAAAUUUCAAAUCCGCGGGGGCACACACAUUAAAAUCUGCGGGGUGCACCCCUUAUUCCGCAAAGAAGAUGAACAGCUUCCCUUGUCUUUGGGACCAACGAGUAGUCUUGGAUCCACAGAUAUUGUAGAUGAUGAAUAUGAUCGGCAACAACAAUGGCCUUCCUUAUCUUUGAACCCAGCGGAUGAUCAUCCGAAACGCACGCAGAUUGAUCACAAUGUUCCUUCUGAUAUUGAGGAGGAGCAAGAGCAACCGUCCACCAUUUCUGAUUUACUACGAGUUUGGGUCUCAACCUGCUUCGGUUGUUUAAAUUUCUGGUGUGAGCCAAGAAAGUGAACUCAUUAAUGUUGCUGCUCUAGUUAGUCAGCCUGCUGUUUCUGCCAAGGAACCGACAAGCCUGCGGUCUCUUUAUGUUCCACCAUCGGAAGCUGGGUGUGAAGCGUGCUGCGUGCAUUAGUUGUUGGAAUGGGACUUCAAAUUCUUCAACAGGUUUGGUAGAAAAAGUUAAAAGGAAAAUUUUAUUUAAACCCAUGCAACUUUUUUUCUACACUCCUCAGGUGUAUGAGCAGGCCGGUGUCGCCAUUCUUCUAUCUAACAUAGGGUUGAAUCCGACAUCUGCAUCUCUCUUCGUCGCUGCUGCUCUCCACAUUAUAUUGUCCCUCACUCUUCUUGUAGUUGCCAACAUUGUCAACUUGGGAACUGUUCUGAAUGCAACAAUCUCCACCGCCGUGCCUGCUGCUUCGUCAUGGCAUUUGGAGUAACCCCGAACAUUCUCUGCGCAGUGAUCAUCCCUACGAGCAUCCACGGCCUCUGCAUUGCCAUCUGUGCCCUCACAUUCUGGAUUGGAGACAUCAUCAUCACUUACGCAUUUCCUGUCAUGCUCUCUUCCGUUGGAUUUACUGGCAUCUUCGGAAUCUAUGUUGUCGGGUGCAUCGUUCCUGGAUAUUUGUUUACUUGAAGUCAGCUGCUGCUGAUGCAUCUGUUGGAUUCCAAUGAGAACUGAUUUGAUUGUUUAGAGGGUUUGAAAGUUUGGUUUGGCUUUAGACUGGGAUUAUGAGGACAGGAUUUGAGUUGGAAAAAGUGCUGAUGACUGGAUUGCAUUUUUAGAAAGUGAUUUUGUAAUCAUCAAUAUCCCUCACUUAAUGACAUGUUUGACUAUUUGGUACCGAAAAAUCAAUUCUCUUGGGUCAUAAGCUCAUAAGUGACAUGUUUUGUU